rnacentral:rRNA from 2 species
GAUGAACGCUAGCGGGAGGCCUAACACAUGCAAGCCGAGCGGUAUUGUUUCUUCGGAAAUGAGAGAGCGGCGUACGGGUGCGGAACACGUGUGCAACCUGCCUUUAUCUGGGGGAUAGCCUUUCGAAAGGAAGAUUAAUACCCCAUAAUAUAUUGAAUGGCAUCAUUUGAUAUUGAAAACUCCGGUGGAUAGAGAUGGGCACGCGCAAGAUUAGAUAGUUGGUGAGGUAACGGCUCACCAAGUCUGCGAUCUUUAGGGGGCCUGAGAGGGUGAUCCCCCACACUGGUACUGAGACACGGACCAGACUCCUACGGGAGGCAGCAGUGAGGAAUAUUGGACAAUGGGUGAGAGCCUGAUCCAGCCAUCCCGCGUGAAGGACGACGGCCCUAUGGGUUGUAAACUUCUUUUGUAUAGGGAUAAACCUACUCUCGUGAG